rnacentral:rRNA from 1 species
CAUCAGAAGGGGAUAACACUUGGAAACAGGUGCUAAUACCGUAUAACACUAUUUUCCGCAUGGAAGAAAGUUGAAAGGCGCUUUUGCGUCACUGAUGGAUGGACCCGCGGUGCAUUAGCUAGUUGGUGAGGUAACGGCUCACCAAGGCCACGAUGCAUAGCCGACCUGAGAGGGUGAUCGGCCACACUGGGACUGAGACACGGCCCAGACUCCUACGGGAGGCAGCAGUAGGGAAUCUUCGGCAAUGGACGAAAGUCUGACCGAGCAACGCCGCGUGAGUGAAGAAGGUUUUCGGAUCGUAAAACUCUGUUGUUAGAGAAGAACAAGGAUGAGAGUAAAAUGUUCAUCCCUUGACGGUAUCUAACCAGAAAGCCACGGCUAACUACGUGCCAGCAGCCGCGGUAAUACGUAGGUGGCAAGCGUUGUCCGGAUUUAUUGGGCGUAAAGCGAGCGCAGGCGGUUUCUUAAGUCUGAUGUGAAAGCCCCCGGCUCAACCGGGGAGGGUCAUUGGAAACUGGGAGACUUGAGUGCAGAAGAGGAGAGUGGAAUUCCAUGUGUAGCGGUGAAAUGCGUAGAUAUAUGGAGGAACACCAGUGGCGAAGGCGGCUCUCUGGUCUGUAACUGACGCUGAGGCUCGAAAGCGUGGGGAGCGAACAGGAUUAGAUACCCUGGUAGUCCACGCCGUAAA